rnacentral:piRNA from 1 species
UGAGUAUGGAUGCUUGCUGCAUGUGU